rnacentral:rRNA from 1 species
GGCGAGGGGCGGACGGGUGAGGAAUACAUCGGAAUCUACUUUUUCGUGGGGGGAUAACGUAGGGAAACUUACGCUAAUACCGCAUACGACCUACGGGUGAAAGCAGGGGAUCUUCGGACCUUGCGCGAUUGAAUGAGCCGAUGUCGGAUUAGCUAGUUGGCGGGGUAAAGGCCCACCAAGGCGACGAUCCGUAGCUGGUCUGAGAGGAUGAUCAGCCACACUGGAACUGAGACACGGUCCAGACUCCUACGGGAGGCAGCAGUGGGGAAUAUUGGACAAUGGGCGCAAGCCUGAUCCAGCCAUACCGCGUGGGUGAAGAAGGCCUUCGGGUUGUAAAGCCCUUUUGUUGGGAAAGAAAUCCAGCUGGCUAAUACCCGGUUGGGAUGACGGUACCCAAAGAAUAGGCACCGGCUAACUUCGUGCCAGCAGGCGCGGUAAUACGAAGGGUGCAAGCGUUACUCGGAAUUACUGGGGCGUAAAGCCGUCCGUAGG